rnacentral:rRNA from 1 species
CGGACGGGUGAGUAACGCGUGGAUAACCCGCCGUAUACUGGGGGAUAACACUUAGAAAUAGGUGCUAAUACCGCAUAAGCGCACAGUCUCGCAUGAGACGGUGUGAAAAACUCCGGUGGUAUACGAUGGAUCCGCGUCUGAUUAGCUUGUUGGCGGGGUAACAGCCCACCAAGGCGACGAUCAGUAGCCGGCCUGAGAGGGUGAACGGCCACAUUGGGACUGAGACACGGCCCAAACUCCUACGGGAGGCAGCAG